UACGAAGGGGGCUAGCGUUGUUCGGAAUUACUGGGCGUAAAGCGCGUGUAGGCGGGUCUUUAAGUCAGGGGUGAAAUCCUGGAGCUCAACUCCAGAACUGCCUUUGAUACUGGCGAUCUCGAGUCCGGGAGAGGUGAGUGGAACUGCGAGUGUAGAGGUGAAAUUCGUAGAUAUUCGCAAGAACACCAGUGGCGAAGGCGGCUCACUGGCCCGGUACUGACGCUAAGGUGCGAAAGCGUGGGGAGCAAACAGG
rnacentral:rRNA from 1 species